rnacentral:rRNA from 1 species
GACGAACGCUGGCGGCGUGCCUAAUACAUGCAAGUUGAGCGCUGAAGGUUGGUACUUGUACCAACUGGAUGAGCAGCGAACGGGUGAGUAACGCGUGGGGAAUCUGCCUUUGAGCGGGGGACAACAUUUGGAAACGAAUGCUAAUACCGCAUAAAAACUUUAAACACAAGUUUUAAGUUUGAAAGAUGCAAUUGCAUCACUCAAAGAUGAUCCCGCGUUGUAUUAGCUAGUUGGUGAGGUAAAGGCUCACCAAGGCGAUGAUACGUAGCCGACCUGAGAGGGUGAUCAGCCACAUUGGGACUGGAACACGGCCCAAACUCCUACGGGAGGCAGCAGUGGGGAAUUUUGGACAAUGGGCGAAAGUCUGACCGAGCAACGCCGCGGGAAGGAAGAAGGUUUUCGGGUUGUAAAACGCUGUUGGAAGGAAAGAAAGGGGUGGGGAGAGGAAACCCGACUAAGGGAGGGAAACUACCCAGAAGGGGCCGCUAAACUAGUG